AACGCUGGCGGCGUGCCUAAUACAUGCGAGUCGAACGAGCUCUCCUAAAUUGAUUUUAUGCUUGCAUAAAUGAUUUUUAGAUUCGGAGCGAGUGGCGAACUGGUGAGUAACACGUGGGUAACCUGCCCCGAAGCGGGGGAUAACAUUUGGAAACAAAUGCUAAUACCGCAUAAUUAGUUGGAACCGCAUGGUUCCAACUUGAAAGAUGGCUCUGCUAUCACUUUGGGAUGGACCCGCGCCGUAUUAGUUAGUUGGUGAGAUAAAAGCCCACCAAGACGAUGAUACGUAGCCGACCUGAGAGGGUAAUCGGCCACAUUGGGACUGAGACACGGCCCAGACUCCUACGGGAGGCAGCAGUAGGGAAUCUUCCACAAUGGACGAAAGUCUGAUGGAGCAACGCCGCGUGAGUGAUGAAGGUUUUCGGAUCGUAAAACUCUGUUGUUAAAGAAGAACAAGUGUUAGAGUAACUGUUAACACUUUGACGGUAUUUAACCAGAAAGCCACGGCUAACUACGUGCCAGCAGCCGCGGUAAUACGUAGGUGGCAAGCGUUGUCCGGAUUUAUUGGGCGUAAAGCGAGCGCAGGCGGUUUUGUAAGUCUGCUGUGAAAGCCCUCAGCUCAACUGAGGAAGUGCAGUGGAAACUACAAAACUUGAGUACAGAAGAGAAAGUGGAACUCCAUGUGUAGCGGUGAAAUGCGUAGAUAUAUGGAAGAACACCAGUGGCGAAGGCGGCUUUCUGGUCUGUUACUGACGCUGAGGCUCGAAAGCAUGGGUAGCGAACAGGAUUAGAUACCCUGGUAGUCCAUGCCGUAAACGAUGAAUACUAGGUGUUGGAGGGUGUCCGCCCUUCAGUGCCGCAGCUAACGCAUUAAGUAUUCCGCCUGGGGAGUACGACCGCAAGGUUGAAACUCAAAGGAAUUGACGGGGGCCCGCACAAGUGGUGGAGCAUGUGGUUUAAUUCGAUGCUACGCGAAGAACCUUACCAGCUCUUGACAUCUUCUGCCAACCCAAGAGAUUGGGCGUUCCCUUCGGGGACAGAAUGACAGGUGGUGCAUGGUUGUCGUCAGCUCGUGUCGUGAGAUGUUGGGUUAAGUCCCGCAACGAGCGCAACCCUUAUUAUUAGUUGCCAGCAUUUAGUUGGGCACUCUAGUGAGACUGCCGGUGAUAAACCGGAGGAAGGUGGGGACGACGUCAAAUCAUCAUGCCCCUUAUGAGCUGGGCUACACACGUGCUACAAUGGAUGGUACAACGAGUCGCGAAACCGCGAGGUCAAGCUAAUCUCUUAAAGCCAUUCUCAGUUCGGAUUGCAGGCUGCAACUCGCCUGCAUGAAGUUGGAAUCACUAGUAAUCGUGGAUCAGCAUGCCACGGUGAAUACGUUCCCGGGCCUUGUACACACCGCCC
rnacentral:rRNA from 1 species